UACGUAGGGGGCAAGCGUUGUCCGGAUUUAUUGGGCGUAAAGAGCGUGUAGGCGGUUCGGUAGGUCCGUUGUGAAAACUCGAGGCUCAACCUCGAGACGCCGAUGGAAACCAUCGAACUAGAGUCCGGAAGAGGAGAGUGGAAUUCCUGGUGUAGCGGUGAAAUGCGCAGAUAUCAGGAAGAACACCCGUGGCUAAGGCGGCUCUCUAGUACGGUACUGACGCUGAGACACGAAAGCGUGGGGAGCGAACAGG
rnacentral:rRNA from 1 species